UCCAUGUUGUCUCAAACCACUUGGGUAUUAAUACAGCUGUCUGAAUGCAACACUUCAUUUUUCUCUAAGCGCAGGGUUUAAUAAUCUCCUGCAUGACAAACAGAACUCCAUCUUCUCAUCACCCCACCUCUUUUUUUUAAUGUGCAGACUUUUUAUGUUGCCAUUUCAUUUGCAACGGCAGAAGAAAGUAUUGCUACCUCAAACUGAUUCCUGUUCCAGAGGAAAGUGGCACGUCACCAGAUAUGCACUAAAAAUCCCAAAAGCAUGACUAGCGUUAUGGAAGCAAAAACACAACAGGGGGAUAGCACAGCAAAAGCUGAGCGUUAAGAAGAAGAAAAACAUCUUCCCUGAUUUU